rnacentral:lncRNA from 1 species
GGAUAAUUCAAUACAAAUUCUAGUACUCGAUAGUUCAACUACUGGAUAGUUCAAUACAAAUUCAACCAUUACAUACUUAAAAUUCAUCACAAAUCUCGUUCAACUUCUUCAUCUUGUCCUUAUAGCCAUGGUUUUGUUUCAUCAUAUCAGAAAUGAUGUGCUCCAACUUUUUCUUCUCUUCCUUCAUUCGGUCUCUCUCUAGCACAAGCUGGUCCCUCUCCUUCUCCGCCUUCGCCCCGAG